UCUUAAUACAUUUUCUACCCAAGACAUUUAAUUUGAAUCAUUUACUAUCUUUUUUAUGUAUAUACUCAUGAAUUAACUUGCUUUUCAGACUCAAAACGAUAUUCAGAGAAUGUUCGUUUCCCUGGCUGAAACAUCAUCGCGGAUCUUGUCAGCAAACCCGGAUGCCGAUGAAAUUUACGAGGUGAUAGUAUCAAAACUUGACUUGCAUUCCAAAAAUGCUCCUGACCCUCAAAUUGUCAAACAGCUGGAGGAAAUGGAUUUCCUAAGAAGCAAGUCAUUGCUGCUCUCGCUUUGAAAAAGUAGGUAUUCCUUCAUUCUACCUCAUAAUGGUCUUGAACCUGUAUCAUUGUAUCAACUAUCAGGAAAGAAAGUGAAAAUUAACACAUCCAUCUAUUAACUGUAGUCUCAUACCCACAGCCAAAUAACUAUUGAGUUUUUGUAAACCAUUUUAUUGUUUUCAAUAAGUGGAACUAUCCCCCUGGUAAGUAUAUCAGUAUUGUGGUGCUGAAAAAUUUCAACUUUGAGUCACUGGUACCAUCUACUAGUGGAGAAAAUGACUCCGAAAUGACUGAUCAUGUUUGAAGUUGUAAUUCAAAAAUGUAAUUCUUACCUGCAAAACAAGGAACCACAAAGAACUAAGUUUCUAACUAAGUUUGAGGCCUAGAAUUGUCAAAGUGUAGUCCAACUUAUGCUCUUGAUAGGCAUGAAAUUAAUCAGAUUGCUUUCUUGCAACUUGUUCCUUGAGAUACUUACUUAUUGGUGAGAACCGAGUUUUUCGUCAGAACCUCAUAAUCCGAUUUUUCUCCCAACUUUGCAGAAAUUGCUAUCCUGGUGAAUUUUUCAUUUUGCCUGAAACUCAAUCAUCACACCUGGCAAUUUCAUUUGCUUUUCGAAUAAUUAUUCCUCAUUUUUUCAGGCAAAAUGCAACAGAAGCGCUCGAAUGUUUGUUAGAUGGGUCAUUAGAAACUCUCGAAGCCUCAGACACAAGCAUUCCAAACAGUAUAGAUUUGGACCCUCCAGAAAAUGCCAAUGCAAGUCUAGCAGAAAAAAUUAGCCACCUUUUAAAAAUCUGUAUCACAGUUAAUGCAAAACGCAACAAUAAUGAUCCUGGAAACGAUAAAAUGCUACAGUUCCUCGUCGAUUCAGGCCUCGCACGGAGCAGUUCCCCAGAAUUGCUGAGCAAGACUGACAGUGACCAAUCUGAGUUUACUGAGGUUUCUUCUGACGGAAGCAAACUGGAGGAAGGAAUCAGCCUGGAGCAGGGAGCAGCCAACAGAUGGGAAUGGAUCGCAACGAUCCUGUCUACAAAGCACUUCACACAAAUCCUGCAAUUAUCCUCGGUCUCAAUAAUCCUAAAACUCUUCUAGGUGCGCUGGUUUUUAUAUUUUAGUCUCCCCCAAAUUUCAGUUUAUAAACUCGAAACAUGCAUCUUUUUUAUUUUCAUUCAUCAAGGUUCUACAAAGAACAGGGUGUCUAGGUUUUUUUUUCAUUUUGGGAAAUCCUGGUUUUUCCUGAUUUUUGACUGCUAAUUCGUAAUUUCAUAAUUUUUCCAAAUCCUGAUUUCUUGUAAAGAAAAAUUAAAAUUUCUGCAUAAGCGUAUGCAAAAGCAUAAAAAAAUCCGAUCGGACAGCCGACUCUUCUCAAAUCCUGAUUUUACGACCGAUUUUUCCUCAAAUCCUGAUGAAAUUAGGAUUAAGUCCUGAUUGACCCCAAAUCCUGAUAGAAUCGGGAAA
rnacentral:lncRNA from 1 species